GACGAACGCUGGCGGCGUGCUUAACACAUGCAAGUCGAGCGGUAAGGCCCUUUCGGGGGUACACGAGCGGCGAACGGGUGAGUAACACGUGGGUGACCUGCCCUCAGCUCUGGGAUAAGCCCGGGAAACUGGGUCUAAUACCGGAUAUGACUUCAUGACGCAUGUUGUGGAGUGGAAAGCCUUGUGCGGCUGGGGAUGGGCCCGCGGCCUAUCAGCUUGUUGGUGGGGUGAUGGCCUACCAAGGCGACGACGGGUAGCCGGCCUGAGAGGGCGACCGGCCACACUGGGACUGAGACACGGCCCAGACUCCUACGGGAGGCAGCAGUGGGGAAUCUUGCGCAAUGGGCGAAAGCCUGACGCAGCGACGCCGCGUGAGGGAUGAC
rnacentral:rRNA from 1 species